GACAGAUUGAGAGCAGGGUUUACUGAUUCCAUGACAGAUUGAGCACAGGGUUUACUGAUUCCAUGACAGUAAUGAGAGCAGGGUUUACUGAUUCCAUGACAAUAAUGAGGGCAGGGUUUACUGAUUCCAUGACAGUAAUGAGAGCAGGGUUUACUGAUUCCCAUGACAGAUUGAUAGCAGGGUUUACUGAUUCCAUGACAGAUUGAGAGCAGGGUUUACUGAUUCCAUGACAGAUUGAGAGCAGGGUUUACUGAUUCCAUGACAAUAAUGAGAGCAGGGUUUACUGAUUCCAUGACAAUAAUGAGAGCAGGGUUAACUGAUUACAUGACAGAUUGAGCCGACAGCAAUAACAACAUUGUUGAGAUUAGUAGUGACCAGGGCUCGUAGGAGUGCUGAUCUAGCAUCCGUUUUUGACUUUUAGAUCAUAAUGGUUAUAUGGACAGAUCCUAGAUCAAUACUCCUACUCUGAGGUCCUUUCUGGAUACAGACUGUGAUCUUAGCCAAACUGUGUUGGGUUGACAGUCGCUGGAUCGGGGUUCUAGUAGGAUCCCUAUGUUUGUUUACGUAAACUAUUCAUUGAUCAUUUAAAUUUGGUGAUCUAGUCAUUAGCUCUUGUUGCUGUUAUUUGUAAGGAUUUUACAGGGUAGGAUGAAGGUCUUUCAUUGGCCUGGACAUAACUACUGUCACGCAAUAUCUGAAUACUUGGUCAGAUGAAAUCAGGGAACGAGAUUUCUGGAUGAAUUUCUAUUUUAAUCCCUUCAUGACUAACAGGUUCAGACCCAUAUCAGGACUGACUUCACAGGAGUACUGUAGGUUAGCACUGUUGAUGAAUAUGAGGGUUUCAUCUCUCUUUAAAAAUAAUCAGUAUAUUCUCUGUUUCUUGUCUCUCUUUAUUGGGCUUUUAUUCAUUUCCAAAUGAUUCAUAAUUAAAGUUGGAUAAAUGAAUCAAGAAACAAGACCAAGACUUAAGCCCUUCUAUCUAUACAUGUUCAAAUUGUUUUAUCCUCCAAAUGUCUUUAUAUAAGUAGAUCCAUAGCCUACACAUGGUGUCUCCCAGUGAAUCAGGGGCUCCACCAGUUCCUAACCAGUCCUGUUGUAAACCAUAUCACCGCCCCUGUCAACCCUCCCAUGACAACACCUCCAAAACCACCUGUCAGAACCCCCAUCAACAACCCUGUCACUAUGGCGACGAAGAGCUCCAAUACGAUUCUCUGCCUGUCCUCCUUCCUCCACUGGUAUCUGUAGCGCUCCCUCUCCUCCACCUCAUUGGUCUGCACUGCCAAGAGAAAGACACACCCUUCUUUACUCACAGGGGGAAACAGUCACCAAGGUGAAAUAGAUCUAUGUUCUUUGAGGGAAGUGUAUGAAAAAUAACCUCCUAAAUAUUAUAUUGUUCUGUAUUUUACUGCAUUUUAAUUAUUGUGAAUAAGUAUAAUUAAGUAAAUGGCCCAGAUGAUUUAUUCAACAUAUUUCACACAUCACUGCUAGGUGGAGAGCUUUCACUAAAACACUGAUAAGGAGAUAUUUCUAUUAAUGGAGAAAGAUGAAGUAGCCUAGACACUGAUCGGAGGUCAGCUUUAGUGUUUUCGUUCUAUAAAGGGGUCCUGACAGGAUUGGAUAGGUUGGAGAAAGAUGAAGUAGCCCCCAUACACUGAUCUGAGGUCAGUUUUGUGUUUUGGGCCUGUAAGUAGGCCCUGACAGGAUUGGAUAGGUUGGUGAAAGAUGAAGUAGCCCCCAUACACUGAUCUGAGGUCAGUUUUGUGUUUCAGUCUUAUAAAGGCAUUGACAGGAUUGGAUAAGUGCAAUCAAGGUGUAGAAAUAUUCACAGAGCCUUUCAAAGAGUAAGGUGGAACUACAGUGUAGCUUUAAUACAGGUCCUAAUGGCUGUCCUAGGAUCAGAUUACCUGACUAAAUACUAACCAAACCCUUAAAGAGUAAUGUGGAACUACAGUGUAGCUUUAAUACAGGUCCUAAUGGAUAUCCUAGGAUCAGAUUACCCAACACAGUAGAGGGUUUUUUCUGGAGUUUUAAUUAUUUUCCUCUCAAGUAGUGAAAUUAACUCAUUCUAAUUAUUACCAGCAGCCGCUAGAGUGGGAGCAAAAAUACUGAUUCUAUUCUAAAUUCUAUUGGAGUAAAACAGCAUGACCAC
ensembl:lncRNA